rnacentral:rRNA from 1 species
UACGGAGGGUGCAAGCGUUAUCCGGAUUCACUGGGUUUAAAGGGUGCGUAGGCGGCCUGAUAAGUCAGUGGUGAAAGCUUCCCGCUCAACGGGAAAACUGCCAUUGAAACUGUCGGGCUUGAGUACGAUUGAUGUGGGCGGAAUACAUCAUGUAGCGGUGAAAUGCUUAGAGAUGAUGUAGAACACCGAUUGCGAAGGCAGCUCACAAAAUCGCAACUGACGCUGAGGCACGAAAGCGUGGGGAGCAAACAGG